UACGUAGGUGGCAAGCGUUAUCCGGAUUUAUUGGGUUUAAAGGGAGCGUAGGCGGUUUUGUAAGUCAGUGGUGAAAGACGGUCGCUCAACGAUCACAUUGCCAUUGAUACUGCAAAGCUAGAGUACAGUAGAGGUGGGCGGAAUUUAUGGUGUAGCGGUGAAAUGCAUAGAUACCAUAAAGAACACCGAUUGCGUAGGCAGCUCACUGGACUGUAACUGACGCUGAGGCUCGAAAGUGUGGGUAUCAAACAGG
rnacentral:rRNA from 1 species